rnacentral:tRNA from 1 species
GCCGGGGUGGCGAAACUGGCAGACGCAUCGGACUUAAAAUCCGAAGGCCCGGAAGGGCCGUGCGGGUUCGAUCCCCGCCCCCGGCA